AUUGAACGCUGGCGGCAUGCCUUACACAUGCAAGUCGAACGGUAACAGGUCUUCGGAUGCUGACGAGUGGCGAACGGGUGAGUAAUGCAUCGGAACGUGCCCAGUAGUGGGGGAUAGCCCGGCGAAAGCCGGAUUAAUACCGCAUACGACCUGAGGGAGAAAGUGGGGGACCUUCGGGCCUCACGCUAUUCGAGCGGCCGACGUCUGAUUAGCUAGUUGGUGAGGUAAAGGCUCACCAAGGCGACGAUCAGUAGCGGGUCUGAGAGGAUGAUCCGCCACACUGGGACUGAGACACGGCCCAGACUCCUACGGGAGGCAGCAGUGGGGAAUUUUGGACAAUGGGCGCAAGCCUGAUCCAGCCAUGCCGCGUGUCUGAAGAAGGCCUUCGGGUUGUAAAGGACUUUUGUCCGGGAGCAAAUGCUGGUGGCUAACAUCCACCGGAGCUGAGAGUACCGGAAGAAUAAGCACCGGCUAACUACGUGCCAGCCGCCGCCGUAAUAC
rnacentral:rRNA from 1 species